UGAACAUCUGAUAUGUCUGUUUCGUGCUGUUUCUAGGAUUUAAAGGCUGUGGCUGCUCAGCAGGAGGAGGUUAAGCGGGAAGUGGACAGCUCAUCUAUGACGCUGCUGGAGAUAGAGCAGCACCUGCUGGGGAGUGUGUGUGAACAUGGACAGAGACUGGCUCUGCUGCAGGUGUUGGCCAUCAUGUGUGAGGGUCUUCCAUACACAGCUGCUCCGCAAGCACACUCAGGUAUGAUAUAGAAGAAAUCAUGCAUUCAAGGUGAUUCAAACAUGGAUUGGUUCCCUCUCUUCCUUCAAAAUCUUUUAAGCUGUUUAAUCCUUUUGCAUUUUCUCUUUUUCAACUGAGGUUUUAAUAGAGAAACUUGGGUCGUCUAAAAAUAGAGCACAUCAUCUCCUGGCCAGAUGUGUUCCAUUUAACUCGCAACAAAGAAUAUCUUCUCUCUGACUGUUAUUUAGGUUGGUGGGGUUCAGUGUCCAUGCUGCAGAGGGCAUGUGUUAGUGUGUAAAUGGAGAGUUACACACUCAAUAUGGGAAUGGGGUUUGUGGCCACCCUUCUUUCUGUAAAUGCUGAGAGAGCACCAAGAGGCACCCAGACCCAGUCAUCCAAGAACUGUCAUCUGAUCUGAGGGCCACUAUUGCCACACAUGGGGCGUAUCGCCCUAAAACUGACCCCAAAACAGCCACCAAGCACAGUACUGCCCACAGUCCUGCCCACAGUCCUGCUCAACCUGCAGUUCGCUGUUCAAAAACUCUAGACCCCAGGUCUCUUCACCUCCAAUUCCAGGAUCAUUAGAAAAUAACAGCUAGGUGAGUUUGAUCCGAGUUGGAGCUAAACUCUGAAGCAGACUGGACCUCCAGGGCAAGAUUUGAGGAAUCCUGUAGUACAUCUUUUGUCUGAGUAGACCUCUGACCCAGACAUCCCCACUUGAGCCGUAGCUAUGCAUUCACUGACCCACUCUGUUAGAGAUGGAGACAAGGAGGCAUUGCAGAACAAGGACAAACCACUAACACUCUUUCUGGAAAACCAGGAACAUGAAGACUCCUUUGUGUAUCUGUCUGCCAUUCAAGAUUCUGCAGGGACAGGUUCUCCCUAGAGACAUGCCUCAAAGGGGGCGAGGUUUUAAAGAGAGCCAGCAGGGCCAUGGGUGAGCACCAGUCACUGUCUGUAGUCUUUUUUAUAUUUCUUUCUUUCCGUAUUUCUUUCACAAUUAUCUAUUUCAGGACCUGUUUGUCAGAUCUGGGCAAUGGCGUAUCCCCAGCACAAGUGUGCGGUUAUUCAUUGUGUCUGGAGAUCAUUCAGUCUGGGAGUGAGACAUGUCGUCUUGGCCCGGCUCCUUAACAUCAGACCAGCUCUGAAAAAGCCCAACAGCUGCUACAGUCCGCUGAAACCACACAAUGAGUCUCACAGCUCUCUGUCACAUUCAUAGCUUCUUCACACACAGCAGGGGGCAUCACACACUUCACCCACACACUUGAGCUUAAUUUACAUUUUCAACCCAUGAGUAUUAUCUAAUGGGACACUGAUUUCAAUCCCAAAAUCCUUGAUUUUGUAAUAACUAAAUAUCUAACCACAACAUUUCAUAACAUACACAUCCAGUCCGUAAUUAAAGAAAAUCAUUUUCCUGCAUAAGUGUACCUCUGGUUUCUAAUUAAACAUGUCGCUUAAUAAGGGGCUUGGACAGAUGGCCACAGUUAACAAGAAGCACAGGAUCAAAGAAGUGUGUUUCAUUUUUUCCUUGCCCCUUCUUCCUCCAAAUCAGACACACUUCUUUUUUCUUGUAGAGAUAGUCCACAUUAGCCAUUAAAGCUCUUUUGAUCUGUUUAGAGGAUUGGUCAGCCUAAGAAGUAGACAUUCAUGUCUGAAUAGGUCCUGGCACAUGGGUUCUAGAAGAUUUUAUAGCGUUUGAAUGAUAUCUCAAACAGAGCCAGAAAAAUCAGCGGUUGGAUAGCAAGACCCUCCUUUUCAUAUAAGCCAAAAAAUCCAAGUUUAGUGACUUUGGUCAUGCUGUAGGAACGUGCUUUGGACUUUCUCAGACUUUCACACUGAGAUGGAGAGAUUGGAAGAGAGUGGUGACUUCAGCUUUGUGUUUGAAGUGUGUUCAGACUGGAGCUCUCAUCCAGUCCACUCUA